GGCCUGGUGGUCUAGUAGUAUGAUUCCUUCUUAGGGAGUGGAACAAUGUUCUGCACCAUCUGGAGGAGGUCCCGGGUUCAAUUCCCGGCCAGGCCC